rnacentral:rRNA from 1 species
AAGGUUUCCGUAGGUGGACCUGCGGAAGGAUCAUUAC